rnacentral:rRNA from 1 species
UACGGAGGGGGCUAGCGUUGUUCGGAAUUACUGGGCGUAAAGCGCGCGUAGGCAGACCUGCAAGUCGGGGGUGAAAGCCCGAGGCUCAACCUCGGAACUGCCUUCGAUACUGCGGGUCUCGAGUCCGGGGAGAGGUGAGUGGAAUUCCUAGUGUAGAGGUGAAAUUCGUAGAUAUUAGGAAGAAACACCAGUGGCGGAAGGCGGC